GGCGGGGAAGGAAAGAGGGAGGCGAGGGAGGAGGAAGAAGCCGCAGCGGCCGCCUCAGCGCCGUCUGUAUAUAUAAAGCCACUUGAAAACAACUAUCGUUGAAAAAAAAAUAAUCAAUAGAUAAAUAAAAAUGUUCUAACUAGAUAACUUCCGGGACUUGUGGCCUUCACAGCAGAAGAAUUGUGAUGAGAGCUGUUCCAUCUGUCUAAUGGAAUAUAAAUUCCAGCAUCUUUGAAUCUUCCUUCUUUUUUUCCCCCCCGGAUAUCAAUCUUCUCUCUGGCUUUCAACCAUCAUUGCUCUCUUUUUUGUCAGGUACAGUUUGUAGAAGAUGCCCACUCAGGGCCAUUAAUGAGUCCAUAUAGGCUAGAACUGGUUAUUAAUACAAAAUCUGCUGUGGAAUAUCAUCAGUAGCACCAUAAACACGCCUUCCUUGCCUCAGCCUCCAGGGUUUUUUCGUGUGUGUGUGCGUGCGUGUGGUUUUUGCUACAUGCACUUGGAUGAUGUCACGGUUGGCAACUCUUAAUACACACAGGCACAUAACCACACCUUGCAGCAUCGGCUUUGGAGGCAUGGCGCCAGUAGCAUCAGGCAACCAAGAAAAUAUCUACAGUUAAUGGAAGAUAUUAACUGAGGAGCAGCAGCGAGAACCACCAUGGACUGCACUGCUCAGAAAAUAGCCAUACUGGGCACCAAAAGAGGAGAUAACAUUUAUUCUUAACACUGGGUUUGUUUCACAAGGCAGCAAUAUAACACCAUCCCAAAGGAAAACCAAAGUUACUGUAGGCACCAACAUACAUUUGUAUCAGAGGACUUAAGGUUUGACAACGUGGCGGUUCAGGCAGAUUCGUUGCUUUCUUAAAAUAGGUGUGAGAUGUUAGCCCAUUAACGUAAGACAAAAUUAUUGUUGUCUUCUUUUGGGCUUAAUAAUGCCAAAAAGAUUUAUAACUAACUUCAAAGUUUUUACUUCCAUACAAAGAACAGAUUUCGGUAAUUAAGAUACAGAGACAGAACAGCUCCCAAAGUUUUCGGUUCCCAGGCCACCUUCUUUACUUUCUCUCUCGCACAUAAAGUAAUUUUAGCAAAUAUCUAAUUUUUAGGUAUUGGUUAUAAUGAUUUUGUACAUAGUCUUCCAAAAUAAAGGGCCUGCCACUAGCAACCUGUGUCCAGACAUUUAUUUUAGCAGAGACCAAUAUAUACAUAAGAAAAUUAUUGAUUUGGAUCUGCAAAGAUGGUAUGCUGUGCUCUUCUGCAGGAAUUCCAUUUCUUAUCCUGGUUUUGUGUUUCUCAGCCCUGCCCCCACCAGUCCCUUAUGAUUGUUUAGUUCUCCUGGGCCAGUGUAGAAUUUUGAUUUAGUUUUAUUUUUUUCCACCUAAAGAUUGUAUUUUAAAAAAAAAAAAAAUCUUGGCUUUCUCAAGAUUACUGAGACUUUUCUGUUUUUCACAGAUCAUAGUUUGGUGGCUCCAUAAGGAACAAAUCUUGGGAAGAUGAUUUGGUUAUUAAUAUAAAACGGUUAUUAUUAGUGUAAAAUGUGUGUAUAAUGCAGCAAAUAUAGUAAUAGACUUGGAUCGAAGUGCACUGAUGUAAAUUUAACUGGGUUUGUGUGUUCGGAUUUAAAAAAAACAACAUUAUUUCAAAUAGAUUUUUCAUUUGAGUCUUUUCCUAUGCUUGAUUUGUGCUUAUUUGCACCCAUUCUACCCUAUCAUGGAAAAGCUUAUCUUCUUUCACACACACACACGCACACACACACACACAGAUGCUGGACUUACUUCUGGACCUUUCUAUUGUACCCAGCUAUUCUCCUAAAAUAAUUUUAUUUACACGAGGGAUUCCAGUGACUGAUGAAAAAGCCUAUCCAAUAAAAUGCCUCUAAUAUUUACUUAACAACUUUGUUGUAUUUUUGGCUAUUUUUUCCUGGCAUACGCUUUCUAGUUUAGAAGCACUUGGAAAUUAAGUCGAAUGAAUGAAUGUCAUUCUUUAUAUACCUAAAUACUACAGGGCAGAAUUCAUUGGUUGUCAGAGAGAGCCUUCUGCAACCUGAUAUCAGCCAUCAGAUGUUUUUGACAAGGAAGCCCAGUUGGCAGAGACAUUUGGGGUGAUUUCUCAACUUCGGCAACUUUAAGACAUGCCGACUUCAACUCCCAGAAGUCCUACCGGCUGGGGAAUUCUGGAAGUUGAAGUCCGCUCACCUUUAAAGUUGCCAAGGUUGAGAAACACUGGUCCAAACCGGUAUAUUUCAAAGUGAUUAGGUAGGAGAAGGAUGCUGAAGGCUAAUCCACCCAUCCUUGUUUCCGAUUCAAUUGAAACACAAUAUUGUGACUUCUGUGCGCACAACAUUAGCUCUAACAGCACAAACACAUCCAAGUAGCAAAAGCGGAGGCAUAUAACAACCCCCUUAGCCUGUAAUCCUACACUCAAUCCCAUUGAACUCCACAAAACAUAUACCUAGGAAGAGCCAUACAUUAAUCUGGGCUCUGCAUCUUCCCGUCAUUUUGCACAUCAAUGCCUCCAGAUAUCGUGUGGAAUCAGGAAGACGAGAAAGCUCCCACAAAGCUGGAUAUCCUGUCAUUAAAACGGCACCUUGCCAUGAUAUCCUAGGAACCAGAUUAGCUCCUCUGCUUUUGUAGGAGGUGAGAUGUGAAAACUUUCAAAAUACCUCACUUAGCCGUUCUUCUUCCUUCCUCCCUUUGAAGAGACGAUCCCACUUUCUGCCUCGCUUCCUGUCGAAUCCCUUCUCUUCAUGUUCCUCCAGAUUUUUGGCUACUUUCACUAACGCGCUUAACCUACUUACCGAAUCGAUUCAUUUUUCUGGGAUUGCAAAGGACGCCGAAUGCCAUGCUAACAAAAAGAGACGAGUUUGCACAAUACGCUAAAGGGACAUUGCACAAACACACAAACCAGGCGUCCCACGUUGUGCAAACACAGCUGCUAGGUUUGUAGCUGUCUGGUUAACUGUCUGGACCAGGGGUCUCCAACCUUGGCAACUUUAAGACUUGUGGACUUCCAACUCCCAAAGUUGCCAAGGUUGGAGACCCCUGGUCUGGACUGCUGGACAUACCCUCAAUGAAGAUGGGGAUGAAGUGAAGCCAGGACAUCUAGAGACAAUAGACCUGGUGUGGGUGAUUCCACUACUGGUGACGCCCCAGACCCAUAAGGCAGAUCCAGCAAGCCCACAGGAUCCCUUGCCUUGCCCUCACUGACCCCUUCUCAAGUCCAACCAUUUGAUCCUAAGCAGAGACAUGUGAUAAAACUCCUUAGAGCUGAGAAACAUGUCAAGAAAUAAAACAGCAGAAGAGUCCGUUGCCACAGCUCUGUAUGGGGUGGAGAAUGAGAAGGGACCUUGGAGGUCUUCUAUCUAGUCCAACGCUCUGCUCAAGCAGGAAACCCUGUACUAUUUCAGACAAAUGGUUGCCUGAAAACCUCCAACAGUGGAGGUUUAUCGGCCUUGCUCUCUGGGUGUCGAGGCUGAAAACCAACUUUUUGAGCCAACUAUCUUGCUGUGGAUUCCAACUUACUGUGUGUCUCCUUUCUUUUUUCCUGGAUUUGUCACUUGCUUAUUAGAUUCCUGGUCUUGACCUGUGCUAAACCUGUGGACCACACUUGCUGUCUUAAGAUACAAGUUAAAAGACUCAUCAAGCUUUGCCUAUCACUGGAUUAUGGGAGGCAUCCGGGCACUUAUCUCUCUGGCUGGCAGCCAGCAAUUGCGGCACAGAAAAGAUAAGCAUUGUGUGAACACAGUCAUUAAGCAAAAUUAAGGGGGCGUUUUUUUCAGAACACAAUUUACCUUAACUAGCUCAUUUUCUGAGUUUUCACAAUAUAUGGAGCCAUAAACCAGGGUUGCAAACACCCAGGGAACCACUAGGUGAUAGUAAAAGAGAGUUUUUGCUUCUACUUAGUGGUUGGCUGGAUUUUUGACAUGCAAAAGCCCUACUCUAAACCAAUCAAACAGUCUGUGUCAUUUUUCUAAGCCACCUAGAGGUCGCUGAAAGUGAGCAGGAGGCCAUGUAAAUUCUCUUAAGCAAAUAAAUAAAUUUGUGCAACAUGCCAAGACGGAGAAAAUCAACUUUAAAAAUCAAUUAUAAUGAAAAUUAACCAAUGUUAGCAGCGUGGUAUCAAUUUUCUUACUUCUGAAGGGGGUUCUGACAGCACAAUUCACAAUUCAAAUACCAAAAUGUCCAAUUGUGGGGUUAGGUUAAAUGAAUAUUCCUUAAAAUGUGAAACAAACAGCUAUUUUUUUCCUUUCCACAGCAAUACUCAAUUCAGUCUCUCGCCUUACUUGAGAGCUAGCUUUCCAUUUUCUGUCUUAAUUUACUACUUUCCUGACCUCAAAUGAAUAACUGCAAGCAGGAAUACUUCACCGUUGUGCUUGCACUCCUGAGUAACAGCGUUUCUGAUUGUUGUCAACAUUGAAAUAAAAACAUCAAUUGUUAGAAUACUAAAACCUAAAUUUACAGCAAAUCCGAAUUACACACUACACAAACCCACAGCAACACACCAAACUAAGACUAUCGUUGUCAUCAUCCUCCUGCAGACAUUUUCACCGUUCCCCAUCUCGAUGAUGACUUUUACACAGGCAAUUCUAUUUUCCCUUAGAAUUUAUUUAACUCUAUUUAAGCAUUUUAAAUAUAUCAAAUGCAGAUAAAACAAUUCUGCUUUAUAGGCUGGUGCUAUCACCAAUGAUUGUUCCUAGAACUGAUUUGAUUUAACUAGAACUUUUGAACCCAGUUCUUCUAUCUAUCCUAUUCCCAGGCAUAUUACGGUAUUUCUUGACCCUGACUGAUGCCGUCAAUCGCUCUUCCUUUUUUUCUAACUUAACUAAAAAUUAUUUGCAGCAGCAUGGCCCUUUUCUUUGGAUGCGAAGAUAAAAUGUUCGCUCAGGACUUCUUUUAUGAAUGCCAGGCUGGAUAUUUUAUAUAUUGAGGAAAUUUCCUGACUUCCAUCUGUUUGUUUGUCUUCCUUGAUCAGUUCAGUGGAUAAAACAUUCCCCUUUGUCUAACUAACUAAACUGACUGUGUGUUUUACCUUUCCUAUAUGCUACAGGUAAUCCAUGGGAAUUGCCCUCUUUUCUUCAAAGGUUUCUUGAAUGUUCUUUCCAUGAUACCAUACUUCACUCCUUGCCCAUCAGUCCCUGAGGCCAUUUCAGUUCUGGACAACAAGUAUAUACUUUUUUUUAUCUGUCUGAGAACAAUGAUUCUGAUACGGCUCCAUAAACGUAUAUAUGUCUAUAUACAUAGGUAUGUCUGUGAGACAUACCUAAUUUCCCUCAUCUGCAUGCUCCCAAGCAAUCAAU